AUGUCUACAACACCAGAGAUAUCUCAGACAGCAUGCUCAGCAGCCUCUGAGGAUUAUGAUCCAUCAAAGGAUCUUGUGAGGAAGCCAACUAGGACCAAGGACCCAGCAUGGAAGUAUGCCUUUUGGCCUCAUCUGCAGGAUAAAUUGACAAUCCAGUGUGUUUUGUGUGGCAAAAACAUCUCUUCUGGUUACACAGUGGUGUUAAUGUGUCUGAAAGCAACCGAUGAAAUCAUGAAAGACAUGCAUUUGUACAUGAAGACUAACUUAACCAAGUUCAAAGCCAUGCAUUCAUUUGUAUUGUAUACUGUACUUGUAUACUUAUAUAGUGUAAUACUACAUACUACUACCAGGUAUUAG
rnacentral:rRNA from 1 species